rnacentral:tRNA from 1 species
GGGGGUGUAGCUCAGCUGGUAGAGCGCUUCGAUGGCAUCGAAGAGGUCAGGGGUUCGAGUCCCCUCUCCUCCACCA